AGUGAACGCUGGCGGUAGGCCUAACACAUGCAAGUCGAACGGCAGCACAGGAGAGCUUGCUCUCUGGGUGGCGAGUGGCGGACGGGUGAGGAGUACAUCGGAAUCUACUCUGUCGUGGGGGAUAAGGUAGGGAAACUUACGCUAAUACCGCAUACGACCUACGGGUGAAAGCAGGGGACCUUCGGGCCUUGCGCGAGUGAAGGAGCCGAUGUCGGAUUAGCUAGUUGGCGGGGUAAAGGCCCGCCAAGGCGACGAUCCGUAGCUGGUCUGAGAGGAUGAUCAGCCACACUGGAACUGAGACACGGUCCAGACUCCUACGGGAGGCAGCAGUGGGGAAUAUUGGACAAUGGGCGCAAGCCUGAUCCAGCCAUACCGCGUGGGUGAAGAAGGCCUUCGGGUUGUAAAGCCCUUUUGUUGGGAAAGAAAUCCAGCUGGCUAAUACCCGGUUGGGAUGACGGUACCCAAAGAAUAAGCACCGGCUAACUUCGUGCCAGCCGCCGCCGUAA
rnacentral:rRNA from 1 species